AAUCUAUAAUUAAUCAAAAGAAAGUAUAUUCAUGUACAAUCAUGAUAAUCUAAUCUUCAAUACCACUGUCAAUAGUGAUAGCCGGUGUAAUCUUUAAUUAUAGAACCUUUAUUAUUUGUUUUAAAAAGAAAAGAAUCUUCCACAAAUAUAUCUCAUUGCCUUGUUCUCUGUUGAGAUGAGGGUGGAGUUGGCCUCCCCUUCCUUUAUAAGAAGAAUCACUUUGCUUUCUUUGUCCAUGCAUUCUAUCUCUUC
rnacentral:lncRNA from 1 species